UACCUGCUAGGCUUGACGGUCCUCGCGGACC
rnacentral:sRNA from 1 species